CGGCGCGGUCGGCGGGGACUGCGGGGAGGGCCGGAGUUCGUCCGAGGGCUCCCCAGACCCGGCUGAGGGAACAUUUAAAAAGCUCCCCAGAUGCUCACUGCUCUGAUCACUUCCUUAUGGUACCAGACCUGUUGGUUCAUCUUUUAUUUGAGCCCUGUGGCCAGAAAUCCCCCCCAUGAACCACCUCUGCAGCUCGGGAGUGUUGAUGUAGAAGACAGAAAAGAAGGCAACACUGGAGGAGAUAAGUAGCUCUGGACACAAUGGAAAAGCACAUUACUAAAUAGUAAUUGUUGAGCAGAGGGAAAAGGGAUAGGAGAAAGAUGUGGACUGUAUGUGGUGCCAGCUAAUAAUUCGGUUUCAUCAUGUCACUUCCUGGCUCAGGUGCAGUGUCCUCUAUCCUCUUCCCUUUUUGUACCACCUUACUUAACAUUUAAUUAUAUUCUUUCCUUACUCAA